AUUGAACGCUGGCGGCAGGCCUAACACAUGCAAGUCGAGCGGAUGAAGGGAGCUUGCUCCUGGAUUCAGCGGCGGACGGGUGAGUAAUGCCUAGGAAUCUGCCUGGUAGUGGGGGAUAACGUCCGGAAACGGGCGCUAAUACCGCAUACGUCCCGAGGGAGAAAGUGGGGGAUCUUCGGACCUCACGCUAUCAGAUGAGCCUAGGUCGGAUUAGCUAGUUGGUGGGGUAAAGGCCUACCAAGGCGACGAUCCGUAACUGGUCUGAGAGGAUGAUCAGUCACACUGGAACUGAGACACGGUCCAGACUCCUACGGGAGGCAGCAGUGGGGAAUAUUGGACAAUGGGCGAAAGCCUGAUCCAGCCAUGCCGCGUGUGUGAAGAAGGUCUUCGGAUUGUAAAGCACUUUAAGUUGGGAGGAAGGGCAGUAAGUUAAUACCUUGCUGUUUUGACGUUACCAACAGAAUAAGCACCGGCCAACUUCGUG
rnacentral:rRNA from 1 species